rnacentral:rRNA from 1 species
AAAGAGUAGGGAAGUGUGUGAGCCAUGCGUCAAGAAAAGCCGCUAUUGUUUUACUUAAGCCCGUACCGUAAACCGACACAGGUGGAUGAGGAGAGAAUCCUAAGGCCGACGGGAGAAGCAUUGUUAAGGAACUCGGCAAAAUGACUCCGUAACUUCGGGAGAAGGAGUGCCAGCGAGAGCUGGCCGCAGAGAAUUGGCCCAAGCAACUGUUUAGCAAAAACACAGGUCUAUGCAAAACCGUAAGGUGAAGUAUAUGGGCUGACGCCUGCCCGGUGCUGGAAGGUUAAGAGGAGAGGUUAGCGGCAACGCGAAGCUUUGAAUUUAAGCCCCAGUAAACGGCGGCCGUAACAAUAACGGUCCUAAGGUAGCGAAAUUCCUUGUCGGGUAAGUUCCGACCCGCACGAAAGGCGUAAUGAUUUGGGCACUGUCUCAACAAUGCACCCGGUGAAAUUGAAAUACCAGUGAAGAUGCUGGUUACCUGCGCCAGGACGGAAAGACCCCAUGGAGCUUUACUCCAGCUUGAUACUGGGAUUCGGUAUUGCAUGUACAGGAUAGGUGGGAGGCUAGGAAGUGAUAACGCCAGUUGUCACGGAGCCGCUGUUGGGAUACCACCCUUGCAGUAUUGGAUUUCUAACCAGCGACCAUGAACUGGUCGGGGGACAAUGUCAGGUGGGGAGUUUGACUGGGGCGGUCGCCUCCGAAAGGGUAUCGGAGGCGCUCAAAGGUUCCCUCAGAAUGGACGGAAACCAUUCGAAGAGUGCAAAGGCAGAAGGGAGCUUGACUGCGACACCGACGGGUGGAGCAGGUACGAAAGUAGGACUUAGUGAUCCGGUGGUAUAAAGUGGGAUUGCCAUCGCUCAACGGAUAAAAGCUACCCUGGGAUAACAGGCUUAUCACUCCCAAGAGUUCACAUCGACGGAGUGGUUUGGCACCUCGAUGUCGGCUCAUCGCAUCCUGGGGCUGAAGUAGGUCCCAAGGGUUGGGCUGUUCGCCCAUUAAAGCGGUACGCGAGCUGGGUUCAGAACGUCGUGAGACAGUUCGGUCCCUAUCCGGCGUGGGCGUAGGGUAUUUGAGAGGAGCUGUCCUUAGUACGAGAGGACCGGGAUGGACUGGCCGCUGGUGUAUCUGUUGCAUACCAAAUGCAUGGCAGAGUAGCCAAGCCGGGACGGGAUAAACGCUGAAGGCAUCUAAGCGUGAAGCCCCCCUCAAGAUGAGAUAUCCCUACGUAAGUAGUAAGACCCCUUGAAGACGACGAGGUAGAUAGGUCAGAGGUGGAAGUACAGUAAUGUAUGGAGCUGACUGAUACUAAUCGGUCGAGGGCAUGAC